UUAAGGUGCUUUUUGCAACCGAGUUUACGAGUCAGGUUGUACGAGUGGAGAGAUUAAGCUAGGAGAUUUCACUCAGAGACCCGCUUCCUUUUAUGACAUAAAACGCGUGACGUCACAGAGAACGCUUCUCUCAUAAAGCGCUGUCUGCAGUAUGUUUGGUCAUUCAGAACAGUUAGGUUGACAACUCUCAGGGAGAUGCUGCAAGGAGACCUGUGCUCACCUCCGAGAGCAGAAUGCAGCUGUGGAAAACCUGCCAGCCUUGACUCGUGGACCCAACGAACAGCGUAACAUUGUGGCCGUCACCCGGAUCCCACACCACCGCCAGCGAACAGAGCAAGGCCCUAGGACCUCGUCCCCCACGCAAU